rnacentral:rRNA from 1 species
AUUGAACGCUGGCGGCAGGCCUAACACAUGCAAGUCGAGCGGAUGAAGGGAGCUUGCUCCUGGAUUCAGCGGCGGACGGGUGAGUAAUGCCUAGGAAUCUGCCUGGUAGUGGGGGAUAACGUCCGGAAACGGGCGCUAAUACCGCAUACGUCCUGAGGGAGAAAGUGGGGGAUCUUCGGACCUCACGCUAUCAGAUGAGCCUAGGUCGGAUUAGCUAGUUGGUGGGGUAAAGGCCUACCAAGGCGACGAUCCGUAACUGGUCUGAGAGGAUGAUCAGUCACACUGGAACUGAGUCACGGUCCAGACUCCUACGGGAGGCAGCAGUGGGGAAUAUUGGACAAUGGGCGAAAGCCUGAUCCGGCCAUGCCGCGUGUGUGAAGAAGGUCUUCGGAUUGUAAAGCACUUUAAGUUGGGAGGAAGGGCAGUAAGUUAAUACCUUGCUGUUUUGACGUUACCAACAGAAUAAGCACCGGCUAACUUCGUG